rnacentral:rRNA from 1 species
GUUUGAUCCUGGCUCAGGAUGAACGCUGGCGGCGUGCCUAAUACAUGCAAGUCGAGCGGAUGAUGAGGAGCUUGCUCCUCUGAUUCAGCGGCGGACGGGUGAGUAACACGUGGGCAACCUGCCCUUGAGACUGGGAUAACUUCGGGAAACCGGAGCUAAUACCGGAUAAUAUUUGGAACCUCCUGGUUCCUUAUUGAAAGAUGGUUUCGGCUAUCACUCAAGGAUGGGCCCGCGGCGCAUUAGCUAGUUGGUGAGGUAACGGCUCACCAAGGCGACGAUGCGUAGCCGACCUGAGAGGGUGAUCGGCCACACUGGGACUGAGACACGGCCCAGACUCCUACGGGAGGCAGCAGUAGGGAAUCUUCCACAAUGGACGAAAGUCUGAUGGAGCAACGCCGCGUGAGUGAUGAAGGCCUUCGGGUCGUAAAGCUCUGUUGUUAGGGAAGAACAAGUGCGAGAGUAACUGCUCGCACCUUGACGGUACCUAACCAGAAAGCCACGGCUAACUACGUGCCAGCAGCCGCGGUAAUACGUAGGUGGCAAGCGUUAUCCGGAAUUAUUGGGCGUAAAGCGCGCGCAGGUGGUUUCUUAAGUCUGAUGUGAAAGCCCACGGCUCAACCGUGGAGGGUCAUUGGAAACUGGGGAACUUGAGUGCAGAAGAGGAAAGUGGAAUUCCAAGUGUAGCGGUGAAAUGCGUAGAGAUUUGGAGGAACACCAGUGGCGAAGGCGACUUUCUGGUCUGUAACUGACACUGAGGCGCGAAAGCGUGGGGAGCAAACAGGAUUAGAUACCCUGGUAGUCCACGCCGUAAACGAUGAGUGCUAAGUGUUAGAGGGUUUCCGCCCUUUAGUGCUGCAGCUAACGCAUUAAGCA